AAACGUUCCAAACGUAUAAACCAAUCGUGAACUUAUCACCCUUUAAGGUAAAGAAGUCAAAUUGGCAGGCUGAUAUCUUUGUGAUGGAUGCAGUCUGUUGCGGGUCAAACCGCCUUUACUUUGGAGUGGUCUUGCAUCACUACUAAACUUAUUAAACCCUUUAACUUAUUAUGAACUGACUUGUUGUUUAUUGAGCUUCGGCUCACGUAACAAUCUUUACGAAAAUUACGAA
rnacentral:misc_RNA from 1 species